UUCAUGUGUUUCACAGUGUGCUCUCUGACAAAGACAGUUGAUGGGGUCAAGGAGAGAGGCUCAUCUCUACUCCACCCGCAGUGGCUAGGAUACAGUCAGCUGUUCCCUGUAGAGAUGCCCAUCUGCUUCUCUUAGACAGGCCCUUGCAUCCUGGCAAGCUCAUAGACUACCAAGACCUAGGGGUAAACAUCAGAGGAAGCGAACCACAUCUCAGCAAAUCCUGUAUUAUGGCCCCAGAUUCAUGAGCCAGGGGAAAGGAGUGCAAGAAGAAGAAGAAGAAGAGUUUGGAUUUGAUAUCCCGCCUUUCACUCCCCUUCAGGAGUCUCAAAGCGGCUAACAUUCCCCUUUCCCUUCCUCCCCCACAACAAACACUCUGUGAGGUGAGUGGGGCUGAGAGACUUCAAAGAAGUGUGACUGGCCCAAGGUCACCCAGCAGCUGCAUGUGGAGAAGCAGAGACACGAACCUGGUUCCCCAGAUUACGUGACUACCGCUCUUAACCACUACACCACACUGGCUCUCUACACUGUCUCUGUAAGACAGCCCCCCCUGCUGGAUGGAUGCAAGUAGCUGUCCAGAAGAGAGGAGGAGGAGGAGAGGGAAAAGAAAACACAUGUAGGAAGAGUGCAGCCAAUCAGGGAUAGAAGGAAACUAGCUGCCCAUAGCAGCGUGUGUGGUAGGACAGAGCUUCCACCCCUCCACCAGGGUCACUGUGGCUUACCUAGACAUGGGAGGGUUGGUGAUGAGCUCAGGGUCAUGAAGAUGGACUGGUGGGAGCACCCAAUGGGUAGGGGGACUCCCACUGUUACAGCUGUGAGACCUUGCCCUUCCAAAUGUCAAGGAAAUUCUGCUUGGGGGUUCAAGUGUGGAGGCUCACACGAAACGCACUAUAUAGGCAAAAAUAUGUCAUCUUAGCUGCUCAUCCUCUAGCCCAGUAGUUCCCCAUUAGGGGUGUGGGGAGCCCUGGGGGUCCGCAGAAUGCACCCAGGGGUCUGUGGCCCCAUCCCUUGCCUCCCCCCCAACUAAUUUUUUUUGUCAUUUUUGCAUGGUAAUAUCACAAAUUUUAUGGUCUGUUUUAGCGCUGUGUGGUUUUUCAAUAUAUUGGCCAAAAUCGGUUUUGAAAUCACACCGCAAUAACAAUUUUGACCCAACAAUACGCAGCAAUAUAUCGCUCCUCAUGUGAGGGAGAGCAAAGCAGCCGAUUUCACACAAUGAUCUCAGCCAAUAACGGCGCUGGUCUGAGCUGCCUUCCCUCAUGCUAAGGGAAAACAGGGCAGCCAAUUGUGAGGUGCUGUCUUCCCCUCAUGCUGAUGGAGGAGAAGAAGAGGAGUUUGGCUUUGAUAUCCCACUUUAUCACUACCCUAAGGAAUCUCAAAGCGGCUAACAAUCUCCUUUCCCCUUCCUCCCCACAACAAACACUCUGUGACGUGAGUGAGGCUGAGAGAACAGGGCAGCUGAUUGCUCUCACUUCAAGGCACUGGGGCACUACCUUCCCCUGGCACUGAGGUGAUUCUGCUUCCUCUCUGACUUCCAGUCUGUGACUGCUCCUUCCCUCAUCCCCAUGCCUGAUCUCUGAUUUUAGACAUCAUGAUAUAUUGGACUAUCAUGAUGUUUAGCGGCUGAUAUAUCACGGUGUUGAACACCAGAUAUUGCUCAGCCCUAGUCUGGUUUUUUGGUAUACCUAAAUUCCUUUGCUUAUUAGGGGCUACCCCACAUUUUGUUCAAAAAAAUGCUUUGCAGAGGUAACUACCACAGAGUUGUCAAAAUUUUCAAAAGUAGGAGGUCCGUGGCUUGGCUUUUGAAAAAUAGGGGGUUCUCAGUAAUUAGCUAAUUGGGAACCACUGCUCUUGCCCAAUCACCUUUCUGCCAUCCCAGAACCUCCUUGCCCCUUCAUCCAACUAGUCCUUGAAAUGCAACCUUAUUCAACCUAUUUUCAUGGUACCUAUCAGAACCCUCCUUGUAACUUCUUUAGUGUUGCCCCCCCCCCCAGUUUAAGGUUCCCCCUUAACUGGUCUUUGCCAGCUUUGUAGUCAGACCUCACUCUGCCAUAUGUGACACUCACAGGUAAGCAGUAGCAAUGCUAGUGUUGGGACAAUGGACCCAUGCCUCGUUCUCAUCAAAUGCACUAGUACUGCUAGCUUCUAAUAAAGGAAAGUCCUAUUGUGUGGUUAGCAGACAACAGAAUGGUGAUGUCAGCCAUUGACUAGACCUGCCAUAAAUUUAGGAAACCUGGUCUACUGCCCUUGCCUUCCCCACAGUACAUUACUUUCAGCCUUUUUAACUUCCAGCUCUAAUCACUGCCAGGAGGGGACCCUGAGCUUAAAUAAACACAUGCCAGGGCUCAAUUACUGUAGGGCUGCUGAUGACCCCAGCCUGGCCCAGAUAAAAGUAGGGGAAGAGGCCAUUUCAUGCUAUCAGGUUGUUGGGAUAGUUUUCUCUAAUUAAACUGGAAAACGAAAAGAGGGAAGGUUUCGUGUGCUGCUUAACAGCCCAGACAUCAAAGCAGAGGCAUUAUGUUCUCCAUUGUAGAAGAUACAAGGGAAGAGCUAGGAACACUUCAGUCACUCUCAGACAUAAUAAAAAGGGAAACAGAAGAAAAAGGAAGGAAAGUGUGUUAAUGUAUGAAAACAAAUGAAAAUAAAAAGAGUCUUGCUCUUAGCAGUGCUUGUUACUGUCACAGCUGUUGCCUUCAAAAGAAGAUCUAACAGUUGCUUGGCACCCAUGGAAAGAGGAAGCACUGUAUCUGGGUCCCAAACAGCAUCUUGCUAAGGUCAAACUCUCUUUUCGUGAGAAAUCCCAACCUCCUCUAGGCUUCUCUGCUCAUUUGACCACACUGCCUGUUUUCAUGACCGGCUCAGAAGGGGGAGUAUGAAAGGCAAAGCUUGAAAACAGGAAUCAGAUUAAGCAAGAAGCUAUAGCAAGUUCAUCAGUACAUUAGUGCAGAGCAAGGGAAUGAAAUAGCCGAAUCCAGUUUUUGGUGUUGGGUCAAAUUUGGCCCAAAUUAUUGUAUUGGGGGAAUACCCUUCUGGUCAAAAGAUCUGUCCCUCACUGUCAAAUAAGCACAUAUGAUGAUGACCAAUGUAGAUGGUGCACAUUGGAACUGGUGGGGCAGACAGCAUGAAGGCCAAUAUUAGGUGGAGACAAAGACAAUGAGAGGCAGAUGGAGGCAACUAAACUUAUCUUCUUCUUUAAUGAGUUCUACAAAGGCAACACUGAAAUUCAAAAGGAGGAUGCUAACUGCCAGUGUCACCUCUUGGAUUUUGUUGAGGGCAGACUCAAGUUGGACAAUGCUCUGUUCAGCCUCAUGGACCACCCUUCACUGAUGAUGACACAAAGCAUAUUCCUUCAGGGUGAGUGCUUUACUCCUAAUUGUUGUUUGGAUAUACUACAGCUGGAGAAAUAGGUGGGGCAGCAAAUCACAAACAAGUAUUGAAAGUUUUCUUUCAGUUCCUCAUAAAAGCUACAACCUGACCAAUUUAACAGAAGCCAAAAUUAGAUGGGGACGGUUUGCUUUAUGGCCUCCUGACAUUCCCCCACCCCCUUCUCCUUCCCCUCACUGAAAAUUAAUACUGCACAAUGGGCAAUUUAGAUUUCCAUGCAUUUAAAUGAAUUAACCUCUGGAAAUAAGCACAGACCUUUUUCUCUUCCUUCUUUCUUUUUUAUCUACAGGAGAAGUGGUGACCCCUGUUCAACACACACUCCUUGUCUCCCUGAACUUCUUUCUGCAUCCUGCAGCAAAGAAGACCGAAAGGAGGUGGCCUCCAUUUUGACUUGUACAGUUGUCAGGCAUGGAGGAAGAGGGGGGAAAUGCAGAAUUGAAAGUAUGCACGAUUGGGAAUAGUAUGGUAAAAGGAACAAGACACUGACAAAAAC
rnacentral:lncRNA from 1 species